GAUGAACGCUGGCGGCGUGCCUAAUACAUGCAAGUCGAACGCAUUGUGGUUGAAAUGAUAUGAAGAACUUGUUCAGAUUUGAUUUUCAACAUUGCAAUGAGUGGCGAACGGGUGAGUAACACGUGGGAAACCUACCUCUUAGCAGGGGAUAACAUUUGGAAACAAAUGCUAAUACCGUAUAAUAAUUAAAACCGCAUGGUUUUAGUUUAAAAGAUGGUCUUGCUAUCACUAAGAGAUGGUCCCGCGGUGUAUUAGUUAGUUGGUGAGGUAAUGGCUCACCAAGACAAUGAUACAUAGCCGAGUUGAGAGACUGACCGGCCACAAUGGGACUGAGACACGGCCCAUACUCCUACGGGAGGCAGCAGUAGGGAAUCUUCCACAAUGGACGAAAGUCUGAUGGAGCAACGCCGCGUGUGUGAUGAAGGGUUUCGGCUCGUAAAACACUGUUGUAAGAGAAGAAUGACAUUGAGAGUAACUGUUCAAUGUGUGACGGUAUCUUACCAGAAAGGAACGGCUAAAUACGUGCCAGCAGCCGCGGUAAUACGUAUGUUCCAAGCGUUAUCCGGAUUUAUUGGGCGUAAAGCGAGCGCAGACGGUUAUUUAAGUCUGAAGUGAAAGCCCUCGGCUCAACCGAGGAAUUGCUUUGGAAACUGGAUAACUUGAGUGCAGUAGAAGAAAGUGGAACUCCAUGUGUAGCGGUGAAAUGCGUAGAUAUAUGGAAGAACACCAGUGGCGAAGGCGGCUUUCUGGACUGUAACUGACGUUGAGGCUCGAAAGUGUGGGUAGCAAACAGGAUUAGAUACCCUGGUAGUCC
rnacentral:rRNA from 1 species